rnacentral:rRNA from 1 species
UGCAAGUCGUACGCUUCUUUUUCCACCGGAGCUUGCUCCACCGGAAAAAGAGGAGUGGCGAACGGGUGAGUAACACGUGGGUAACCUGCCCAUCAGAAGGGGAUAACACUUGGAAACAGGUGCUAAUACCGUAUAACAAUCGAAACCGCAUGGUUUUGAUUUGAAAGGCGCUUUCGGGUGUCGCUGAUGGAUGGACCCGCGGUGCAUUAGCUAGUUGGUGAGGUAACGGCUCACCAAGGCCACGAUGCAUAGCCGACCUGAGAGGGUGAUCGGCCACAUUGGGACUGAGACACGGCCCAAACUCCUACGGGAGGCAGCAGUAGGGAAUCUUCGGCAAUGGACGAAAGUCUGACCGAGCAACGCCGCGUGAGUGAAGAAGGUUUUCGGAUCGUAAAACUCUGUUGUUAGAGAAGAACAAGGAUGAGAGUAACUGUUCAUCCCUUGACGGUAUCUAACCAGAAAGCCACGGCUAACUACGUGCCAGCAGCCGCGGUAAUACGUAGGUGGCAAGCGUUGUCCGGAUUUAUUGGGCGUAAAGCGAGCGCAGGCGGUUUCUUAAGUCUGAUGUGAAAGCCCCCGGCUCAACCGGGGAGGGUCAUUGGAAACUGGGAGACUUGAGUGCAGAAGAGGAGAGUGGAAUUCCAUGUGUAGCGGUGAAAUGCGUAGAUAUAUGGAGGAACACCAGUGGCGAAGGCGGCUCUCUGGUCUGUAACUGACGCUGAGGCUCGAAAGCGUGGGGAGCAAACAGGAUUAGAUACCCUGGUAGUCCACGCCGUAAACGAUGAGUGCUAAGUGUUGGAGGGUUUCCGCCCUUCAGUGCUGCAGCUAACGCAUUAAGCACUCCGCCUGGGGAGUACGACCGCAAGGUUGAAACUCAAAGGAAUUGACGGGGGCCCGCACAAGCGGUGGAGCAUGUGGUUUAAUUCGAAGCAACGCGAAGAACCUUACCAGGUCUUGACAUCCUUUGACCACUCUAGAGAUAGAGCUUCCCCUUCGGGGGCAAAGUGACAGGUGGUGCAUGGUUGUCGUCAGCUCGUGUCGUGAGAUGUUGGGUUAAGUCCCGCAACGAGCGCAACCCUUAUUGUUAGUUGCCAUCAUUCAGUUGGGCACUCUAGCAAGACUGCCGGUGACAAACCGGAAGAAAGGUGGGGAUGACGUCAAAUCAUCAUGCCCCUU